UUGUGAGAAACAAAUGUGUGGUAUUGUUGAUAAGCAAGAAGAAGUAAUUUGAUACUUUCUGUAAAAGAGUUUGAUGACGAAGUUUAUGCGGAUCAAUGGUAGAACCAACUCCUUUGUAGCAAAUCAUUUAUCCGAGUCUCUACAAUGCUUGGCUAGCACAUUAUGACGUUGGAGAAGUGGCCAACCUUCAGAAUCCUGGGAGGCUCAUAAGGCAGCAAUCCAAGCACUCAUAAAGCUGCCUUCAGGCGAGCUUGUUACAGGUUCAAGUGAUACAACUUUAAAACUUUGGAGAGGAAGCAAAUGUACACAUACUUUUGUUGGGCAUACAGAUCAAAUAUAGGCUGAUGCACUUGUUCUGAGGGGGAUCAGUUGCACAUUUGAGGAAGGGCACAAAAUACGUAUUGUUGGCAGAAUUGGCAGUGGCAAGACCACUCUCAUAGAGAUGAACCUGUUUUGUCCAAUGGAGCUAGCUAGAGGGAAGAUAUAGUAAUGUAUUUAUUGAAACCUGUAGUAUUCCAUGUAAUGCGAGUCUUUUUACGUAACUUUUAAAUUUUAAGUGUUCAUUUUUUUUCUAAUUCAGAAUAAUAUUACAAGGUACAUCAUAAUUUUAGGGUUUUAUUUACUGUGUUUGG